rnacentral:rRNA from 1 species
AGUGGGGGAUAACGUAGCGAAAGUUACGCUAAUACCGCAUAUGCCCUGAGGGGGAAAGGGGGGGAUCGCAAGACCUUCCGCUUUCGGAGUGGCCGAUAUCAGAUUAGCUAGUUGGUGAGGUAAAGGCUCACCAAGGCAACGAUCUGUAGCGGGUCUGAGAGGAUGAUCCGCCACACUGGGACUGAGACACGGCCCAGACUCCUACGGGAGGCAGCAGUGGGGAAUUUUGGACAAUGGGGGCAACCCUGAUCCAGCCAUGCCGCGUGAGUGAAGAAGGCCUUCGGGUUGUAAAGCUCUUUCAGCCGGAAAGAAAUCGCACAGGCUAAUAUCUUGUGUGGAUGACGGUACCGGAAGAAGAAGCACCGGCUAACUACGUGCCAGCAGCCGCGGUAAUACGUAGGGUGCGAGCGUUAAUCGGAAUUACUGGGCGUAAAGCGUGCGCAGGCGGUUUUGUAAGACAGGCGUGAAAUCCCCGGGCUUAACCUGGGAACUGCGUUUGUGACUGCAAGGCUAGAGUGUGGCAGAGGGGGGUAGAAUUCCG